rnacentral:siRNA from 1 species
GACAUUAGUGCAUUGGAAAGCGGG